GUGCUUGUACCAACAGCACAUAUACUAAAAGUGGAACAAUGCAGAGAAGAUUUGCAUGGCUCCUAAACAAGAAUGACAUGGAACUUCUUGGAGCAUUCAUAGACUAU